GCCAGCCCGCUCAGAAACUCAAAGGAAUUGACGGGGCCCGGCGACAAGCGGUGGGGCGAUGUGGUUUAAUUCGAUGAUACGCGAGGAACCUUACCUGGGCUCAAAUGUAUGUUGACGUAUUCUGAAAGGGAUACUUCUUCGGACAAUAUACAAGGUGCUGCAUGGUUGUCGUCAGCUCGUGCCGUGAGGUGUCGGGUUAAGUCCCAUAACGAGCGCAACCCUAUCAUUAGUUGCCAUCAGGUCAAGCUGGGGACUCUAAUGAAACUGCCUACGCAAGUAGUGAGGAAGGUGGGGAUGACGUCAAAUCAGCACGGCCCUUACGUCCAGGGCUACACACGUGCUACAAUGGCCGGUACAAGGGGCAGCUACCUGGUGACAGGAUGCAAAUCUCCAAAGUCGGUCUCAGUUCGGAUCGGAGUCUGCAACCCGACUCCGUGAAGUUGGAUUCGCUAGUAAUCGCGCAUCAGCCAUGGCGCGGUGAAUACGUUCCCGGGCCUU
rnacentral:rRNA from 1 species